AACACAUGCAAGUUGAGCGGAGGUAGAUGGAGCUUGCUCUAUGUACCUUAGCAGCGAACGGGUGAGUAACACGUAGAUAAUCUGUCCUAUAUUGGGGGAUAGCCCGAUGAAAGUUGGAUUAAUACCGCAUACAGCUAUAUAGUUGCAUGAUUAUAUAGUGAAAGAUUUAUUGAUAUAGGAGGAGUCUGCGGCACAUUAGCUAGUAGGUGAGGUAAGAGCUUACCUAGGCGACGAUGUGUAGCCGGUCUGAGAGGAUGAACGGCCACAAUGGAACUGAGACACGGUCCAUACUCCUACGGGAGGCAGCAGUGGGGAAUAUUGCACAAUGGGGGAAACCCUGAUGCAGCAACGCCGCGUGAGUGAAGAAGGUUUUCGGAUUGUAAAGCUCUGUUAGCAGGGAAGAGGAAGGACGGUACCUGCAGAGGAAGCCACGGCUAACUACGUGCCAGCAGCCGCGGUAAUACGUAGGUGGCAAGCGUUGUUCGGAAUAACUGGGCGUAAAGGAUGCGUAGGCGGUUAAAUAAGUUAUAUGUUAAAUAUAUAGGCUUAACCUGUAGAAAGCAUAUAAAACUGUUUAACUAGAGUGCAGGAGAGGUAAGUGGAAUUCCUAGUGUAGCGGUGAAAUGCGUAGAGAUUAGGAAGAACACCAGUGGCGAAGGCGGCUUACUGGACUGUAAC
rnacentral:rRNA from 1 species